rnacentral:rRNA from 1 species
AGAGUUUGAUCCUGGCUCAGGACACACGCUAGCGGCGUACUUAACGAAUGCGAGUCGAGCGACGAAAGGAGACUUCGGUCUCCCUGAAAGCGGCGAACGGGUGAGUAACACGUAGGUGACCUACCCUGGAGACGGGGAUAGCCUGCAGAGAUGCGGGGUAAUACCCGGUACGCUUGUCGGCUUAGAUGCCGACUAAGGAAAGGCGCGAGCCGCUCUGGGAUGGGCCUGCGGCCCAUUAGCUAGUUGGUGGGGUAACGGCUCACCAAGGCAACGAUGGGUAGCUGGUCUGAGAGGAUGUCCAGCCACACUGGGACUGAGACAUGGUCCAGACUCCUACGGGAGUUAGCAUCGGGGGAUAUUGCGCAAUGGGCGAAAGCCCGACGCAGUGACGCCGCGUGCAGGAUGAAGGCCCUCGGGUUGUAAACUGCUGUCGGGUGGGAUGAACACCGGGAGUGACGUCUCGGUCUGACAGUACCACCCAAGAAAGCCACAGCUAACUACGUGCCAGCAGCUGCGGUAAUACGUAGGUGGCGAGCGUUGUCCGGAAUCACUGGGCGUAAAGGGCGUCUAGGCGGCUUGGCAAGCGGAAUGUGAAAGCCCAGGGCUCAACCCUGGAACGCCGUUCCGAACUGCCAGGCUUGAGUUCGGGAGAGGGCAGUGGAAUUCCCGGUGUAGCGGUGAAAUGUUUAGAUAUCGGGAGGAACACCCGUGGCGAAAGCGGCUGCCUGGACCGAUACUGACGCUGAAGCGCGAAAGCCAGGGGAGCGAACGGGAUUAGAUACCCCGGUAGUCCUGGGCCGUAAACGAUGAUCACUAGGUGUUGGGAGGCAUCAACCCUUCCAGUGCCGAAGCUAACGCAUUAAGUGAUCCGCCUGGGGAGUACGGCCGCAAGGUUAAAACUCAAGGAAUUGACGGGGCCCGCACAAGCGGUGGAGCAUGUGCU